UACGGAAGGCAGCAGUGGGGAAUAUUGCACAAUGGGCGCAAGCCUGAUGCAGCCAUGCCGCGUGUAUGAAGAAGGCCUUCGGGUUGUAAAGUACUUUCAGUCGUGAGGAAGGUGUUAAGGUUAAUAACCUUAGCAAUUGACGUUAGCGACAGAAGAAGCACCGGCUAACUCCGUGCCAGCAGCCGCGGUAAUACGGAGGGUGCGAGCGUUAAUCGGAAUUACUGGGCGUAAAGGGCACGCAGGCGGUUAAUUAAGUUGGAUGUGAAAUCCCCGGGCUUAACCUGGGAAUGGCAUUCAAGACUGGUUAGCUAGAGUCUUGUAGAGGGGGUAGAAUUCCAUGUGUAGCGGUGAAAUGCGUAGAGAUGUGGAGGAAUACCGGUGGGCGAAGGCGGCCCCUGGGACAAAGACUGACGCUCAUGUGCGAAAGCGUGGGGGAGCAAACAGGGAUUAGAUACC
rnacentral:rRNA from 1 species